GAUGAACGCUGGCGGCGUGCCUAAUACAUGCAAGUCGAGCGAACAGAUAAGGAGCUUGCUCCUUUGACGUUAGCGGCGGACGGGUGAGUAACACGUGGGUAACCUACCUAUAAGACUGGGAUAACUUCGGGAAACCGGAGCUAAUACCGGAUAACAUUUGGAACCGCAUGGUUCUAAAGUGAAAGAUGGUUUUGCUAUCACUUAUAGAUGGACCCGGGCGGUAUUAGCUAGUUGGUAGGGUAACGGCUUAUCAAGGCGACGAUACGUAGCCGACGGGAGAGGGGGGUCGCCCACACUGGAGGUGAGACACGGUCCAGACUACUGAGAGAGGGAGCAGACGGGAAUGUUCCGCAAUGGGCGAAAGUAUGACGGAGCAGGGGCGAGUGAGAGAUGAAGGCGUUGGGCGCGUGAAACUCUGUUAUUAGGGAAAAACAGAUGUGUAAGUAACUGUGGACGGCUUGACGGUAACUAAUCAAAAAGCAACGGCUAACUACGUG
rnacentral:rRNA from 1 species